AGAGUUUGAUCCUGGCUCAGGACGAACGCUGGCGGCGUGCCUAAUACAUGCAAGUAGGACGCACAGUUUAUACCGUAGCUUGCUACACCAUAGACUGUGAGUUGCGAACGGGUGAGUAACGCGUAGGUAACCUGCCUAUUAGAGGGGGAUAACUAUUGGAAACGAUAGCUAAUACCGCAUAACAGUAUGUAACACAUGUUAGAUGCUUGAAAGAUGCAAUUGCAUCGCUAGUAGAUGGACCUGCGUUGUAUUAGCUAGUAGGUAGGGUAAAGGCCUACCUAGGCAACGAUACAUAGCCGACCUGAGAGGGUGAUCGGCCACACUGGGACUGAGACACGGCCCAGACUCCUACGGGAGGCAGCAGUAGGGAAUCUUCGGCAAUGGGGGGAACCCUGACCGAGCAACGCCGCGUGAGUGAAGAAGGUUUUCGGAUCGUAAAGCUCUGUUGUUAAGGAAGAACGAGUGUGAGAAUGGAAAGUUCAUACUGUGACGGUACUUAACCAGAAAGGGACGGCUAACUACGUGCCAGCAGCCGCGGUAAUACGUAGGUCCCGAGCGUUGUCCGGAUUUAUUGGGCGUAAAGCGAGCGCAGGCGGUUAGAAAAGUCUGAAGUGAAAGGCAGUGGCUCAACCAUUGUAGGCUUUGGAAACUGUUUAACUUGAGUGCAGAAGGGGAGAGUGGAAUUCCAUGUGUAGCGGUGAAAUGCGUAGAUAUAUGGAGGAACACCGGUGGCGAAAGCGGCUCUCUGGUCUGUAACUGACGCUGAGGCUCGAAAGCGUGGGGAGCGAACAGGAUUAGAUACCCUGGUAGUCCACGCCGUAAACGAUGAGUGCUAGGUGUUAGGUCCUUUCCGGGACUUAGUGCCGUAGCUAACGCAUUAAGCACUCCGCCUGGGGAGUACGACCGCAAGGUUGAAACUCAAAGGAAUUGACGGGGGCCCGCACAAGCGGUGGAGCAUGUGGUUUAAUUCGAAGCAACGCGAAGAACCUUACCAGGUCUUGACAUCCCGAUGCUAUUUCUAGAGAUAGGAAGUUUCUUCGGAACAUCGGUGACAGGUGGUGCAUGGUUGUCGUCAGCUCGUGUCGUGAGAUGUUGGGUUAAGUCCCGCAACGAGCGCAACC
rnacentral:rRNA from 1 species